GCCCCACGUGGUCUAGCGAUUAGGAUUCCUGGCUUUCACCUUGGUAGCCCGGGUUCGACUCCCAGCGCAUGAGGCA